rnacentral:rRNA from 1 species
AUUGAACGCUGGCGGCAGGCCUAACACAUGCAAGUCGAGCGGAUGAGAAGAGCUUGCUCUUCGAUUCAGCGGCGGACGGGUGAGUAAUGCCUAGGAAUCUGCCUGAUAGUGGGGGACAACGUCUCGAAAGGGACGCUAAUACCGCAUACGUCCUACGGGAGAAAGCAGGGGACCUUCGGGCCUUGCGCUAUCAGAUGAGCCUAGGUCGGAUUAGCUUGUUGGUGAGGUAAUGGCUCACCAAGGCGACGAUCCGUAACUGGUCUGAGAGGAUGAUAAGUCAAACUGGAACUGCGACACGGUCCAGACUCCUACGGGAGGCAGCAGUGGGGAAUAUUGGACAAUGGGCGAAAGCCUGAUCCAACCAUGCCGCGUGUGUGAAGAAGGUCUUCGGAUUGUAAAGCACUUUAAGUUGGGAGGAAGGGCAGUCAGCGAAUACCUGGUUGUUUUGACGUUACCGACAGAAUAAGCACCGGCUAACUCUGUGCCAGCCGCCGCGGUAAGAC